ACUGUUUCGCAGUCUGUUUGAGUGGGUUCAAUGUUUUGUUCACCGCAUACCCAAAAGGAGAAAAAAACAGGGGGUGCAGAAGUGCACAGAAGCAGAAAGUACCCCAAUGGAAGGGAUGAGGAGGCCCCUUGAUGUUGGCGAUACUGACCAGAAGUACCUAAAUGAUGAGGAAAAAAGAGAGGUGGGGAGGAAAAGAAAGUUAAAGAAGGAAAGAAAGAUGGUGGACGAGAGAGAAUCGGGCAGAAUGGAAGAGGAGACCAAAGACCCAACUCCACUGCUAAUCGAGGUCAAACCACAACCAACUCCACCAGCCGCUGAGGCCAAAACCCCGGCUAGUUCUUCCUUCAUAAAGUCAUCAGUGAAAGAGCCACUGGUGGCUAAAAGCGCCUGUCGAAACCUGCCUCCACUGGCCACCAAGACCAGACCUCCUUCAUCAGGGGAAGAACCAAUGCUGGUUCAAAAGGUAUCCCAACAACACCCUGAUUUAUCAGCCACUGAGGUUCAACCCCUUCCUGGUUCUUCCUUCAUAAAACCUCCUUUAUCAGUGGCAAAUUUUGCUCCUAAAGCUACUGAGACCAAACCUCUGCGUGGUUCUUUUGUGGUGGACCCUGAGGUGGUUCAAAAGGCAUCUCGACAACUGGCUCAACCAGCCACAGAAUCACUGGCGGUUCCAACUCCAAAACAAGUCAUGUCCAGUUCUACACCAUCUAAGUCUCCAGAGGAGGAACCACAGAUGGUUCAAAGAGCCUCUCGAAACCUGGUUCCAGCAGCCUUCAAGAAAAUAUCACUGAAAUCAGUGACUAAAUCAUUGAUUCGUCAAAGAACCUCAAGACUUUUUGCUCCAAAACCUACUGAGAGCAAACCUCCGCGUGGAUCUUUUAUGCUAGAACCAAAUAUGGUUCAAAGGGCAUCUCAACAUCUGGCUCCACCAGCUGAAGAACCAUCAGUGACAGAACCAUUGGUCCUUCAGCAUACACCGACAAAAUCUCUGUCACAUUCAAUGGAAGAA
ensembl:lncRNA